rnacentral:rRNA from 1 species
UCGAGGGGUAGUCUAGCAAUAGAUGAGACCGGCGCACGGGUGCGUAACGCGUAUGCAAUCUACCUUUUACAGAGGGAUAGCCCAGAGAAAUUUGGAUUAAUACCUCAUAGUAUAACGACUCGGCAUCGAGAUGUUAUUAAAGUUCCAACGGUAAAAGAUGAGCAUGCGUCCCAUUAGCUAGUUGGUGUGGUAACGGCACACCAAGGCAACGAUGGGUAGGGGUCCUGAGAGGGAGAUCCCCCACACUGGUACUGAGACACGGACCAGACUCCUACGGGAGGCAGCAGUGAGGAAUAUUGGUCAAUGGGCGCAAGCCUGAACCAGCCAUGCCGCGUGCAGGAUGACGGUCCUAUGGAUUGUAAACUGCUUUUGUACAGGAAGAAACACUCCCUCGUGAGGGAGCUUGACGGUACUGUAAGAAUAAGGAUCGGCUAACUCCGUGCCAGCAGCCGCGGUAAUACGGAGGAUCCAAGCGUUAUCCGGAAUCAUUGGGUUUAAAGGGUCCGUAGGCGGGUUUAUAAGUCAGUGGUGAAAGCCCAUCGCUCAACGAUGGAACGGCCAUUGAUACUGUAGAUCUUGAAUUAUUAGGAAGUAACUAGAAUAUGUAGUGUAGCGGUGAAAUGCUUAGAGAUUACAUGGAAUACCAAUUGCGAAGGCAGGUUACUACUAAUGGAUUGACGCUGAUGGACGAAAGCGUGGGUAGCGAACA